rnacentral:rRNA from 1 species
UUGAACGCUGGCGGCAGGCCUAACACAUGCAAGUCGAACGGUAACAGGAAGAAGCUUGCUUCUUUGCUGACGAGUGGCGGACGGGUGAGUAAUGUCUGGGAAACUGCCUGAUGGAGGGGGAUAACUACUGGAAACGGUAGCUAAUACCGCAUAACGUCGCAAGACCAAAGAGGGGGACCUUCGGGCCUCUUGCCAUCGGAUGUGCCCAGAUGGGAUUAGCUAGUAGGUGGGGUAACGGCUCACCUAGGCGACGAUCCCUAGCUGGUCUGAGAGGAUGACCAGCCACACUGGAACUGAGACACGGUCCAGACUCCUACGGGAGGCAGCAGUGGGGAAUAUUGCACAAUGGGCGCAAGCCUGAUGCAGCCAUGCCGCGUGUAUGAAGAAGGCCUUAGGGUUGUAAAGUACUUUCAGCGGGGAGGAAGGGAGUAAAGUUAAUACCUUUGCUCAUUGACGUUACCCGCAGAAGAAGCACCGGCUAACUCCGUGCCAGCAGCCGCGGUAAUACGGAGGGUGCAAGCGUUAAUCGGAAUUACUGGGCGUAAAGCGCACGCAGGCGGUUUGUUAAGUCAGAUGUGAAAUCCCCGGGCUCAACCUGGGAACUGCAUCUGAUACUGGCAAGCUUGAGUCUCGUAGAGGGGGGUAGAAUUCCAGGUGUAGCGGUGAAAUGCGUAGAGAUCUGGAGGAAUACCGGUGGCGAAGGCGGCCCCCUGGACGAAGACUGACGCUCAGGUGCGAAAGCGUGGGGAGCAAACAGGAUUAGAUGCCCUGGUAGUCCACGCCGUAAACGAUGUCGACUUGGAGGUUGUGCCCUUGAGGCGUGGCUUCCGGAGCUAACGCGUUAAGUCGACCGCCUGGGGAGUACGGCCGCAAGGUUAAAACUCAAAUGAAUUGACGGGGGCCCGCACAAGCGGUGGAGCAUGUGGUUUAAUUCGAUGCAACGCGAAGAACCUUACCUGGUCUUGACAUCCACAGAACUUUCCAGAGAUGGAUUGGUGCCUUCGGGAACUGUGAGACAGGUGCUGCAUGGCUGUCGUCAGCUCGUGUUGUGAAAUGUUGGGUUAAGUCCCGCAACGAGCGCAACCCUUAUCCUUUGUUGCCAGCGGUCCGGCCGGGAACUCAAAGGAGACUGCCAGUGAUAAACUGGAGGAAGGUGGGGAUGACGUCAAGUCAUCAUGGCCCUUACGACCAGGGCUACACACGUGCUACAAUGGCGCAUACAAAGAGAAGCGACCUCGCGAGAGCAAGCGGACCUCAUAAAGUGCGUCGUAGUCCGGAUUGGAGUCUGCAACUCGACUCCAUGAAGUCGGAAUCGCUAGUAAUCGUGGAUCAGAAUGCCACGGUGAAUACGUUCCCGGGCCUUGUACACACCGCCCGUCACACCAUGGGAGUGGGUUGCAAAAGAAGUAGGUAGCUUAACCUUCGGGAGGGCGCUUACCACUUUGUGAUUCAUGACUGGGGUG